rnacentral:lncRNA from 1 species
UGCAGACACAACUUUACUUCAGCGAUUCUGAGGGAAAAUCGUUGAAGAGUUGUGGUUAAAUUGAUUUAACACCUCCACAAGUGUGCAUGUUUCCCAUGAUGAUUUUAAUCACUGACAGAACUUCACAAGCGAUCUGCUAAUUCGGAAGAAUGUCAAAGGCUCUGAUGUCGAUCUUAGGGGUUCCGUUUUGCUGCUUUCCUUGUUUUGGGAAAGUCAAAAAGAAUCCUCAACUAGGGAGCUCUGUGUUUGAUGACUUGUGUGGUGCUAACACAAAGAAUUGUCCCUUUUCGAUUUUCUCUGGAUCGUCUACCAGCUCGAAUGGUCAAGAGAAAGCUCCAACGAGCAAGAAGAAGAAGACCAUUCGGGAUUUUUAAAAGGCUAUCGUGGAACAAUUCAUCUGCUUUUGCCGGUUCUUUUUUUGUUAUAGGAGUCAAUCCGUGGCCACACAUCGGAAUGCCAUUCAUUCACUAUUAACGUUUUAAGUUGUCACAAAUGAAAUAAAGUUAUGAGAAUUGACACAACUUACUAAAUGUGUCUCGCCAUACUGUAGUUAUCGGUAAUGUACUAAACCUUUCCUUCACCUGUCACGAUCAAAACUACUGGGAAACAACUCCACAUCAGGCUUUUAGAGGGAAGGAAAGUAUGUUACAUACUCUGGAACGAGGGGAAUUUUAGAACACGGGAGAAGUCAAGAAAACGAAAAUGGUCCUCAGUUUCAAUCCACACAUUAUUAACAUUCUCCCCAGACCAUCUCUCUAUUAGAACGCUCGAUCAUCGAUCGUAUGACCUCACAAAAAAACGGGGGUUUAGCAUUCUAGUAUCACUCACUAAGUGUGCGGAUGACAUGUUGUUCUCCCCUCCCCCUCCCCCUCUUAGUGACAAAGUUUUUUUAACAUUUUUGCAGCGGGACUGCAUGGUUAAAAUCCAACAUUGAAAGGCUGGGAGGCUGGAGAAUCUGUCAAACAAUAUUACUGGCACUGGGAUAUUUCUUUACUAGCUGCUUUAGUCUGAUCAGUGGAUAUUGAACAUUUUCAUGUCUUGAAAUAAUAAUAAUAAUAAUAAUAAUAAUAAUAAUAAUGAUGAUGAUGAUCAUGAUGAUCAUGAUGAUAAUAACAAUAUUUACAGAGGAUAUCACCAAGCUAACAUUAAGUUAAUUAGGGUGUUCAUCUAUCUACAUUACAACAAAAAACCCUCAUUCGUUUAUUCAUUCAAGAAGAUUGACAACAAGACAGAGUGUGCACUGAAAAUGUAUUAUGUACAUUUGAAUCUAUAAAAUAAUUAUCGUUUACAAUAAAACGUUAAUAAGGCAUUUUGUUUGCCAAUUAAAAGUCCUCUUCGUUUCAUCGCGCAUUUAGUUUUCCUAGCAUAACUAAGGAAAUAUAACUUGUUAAUCCAAUUGAGAUAAGCAAGUCUACACUAAAGUAGAUAGUUCGACAAAUUAAAUAAGAGUCACGAUCAGGACAAAUUAAACAUAUGUUAACGACCAUUAACAAAACAGUAGUAAUCUAAUAUAAACAGAGGGGGAAGUACUGAAAAAUAAUUAUUGUGAAUU